rnacentral:rRNA from 1 species
AUGGGCUCGAGGCCGUGGUUGUGGCGGGAGGAGAUCCGGUGGUGCCUCGGUGGUAGCGGCAGCGAGGGCGUGGCACUGGCUAUAUGGGGCGCUCCAUGCGGGAUCCUUCCCGAGAGCGAGGGGCUGCUUAGGCUCUUCGGCUGGUCCCGCCGCUCAUGGAGCCGCCCGCCUCCGAGUCCUUGGUGGCACACUCCCCCUGCAUCACUUUCGGCAGCGGCGGGGACGGCGGGUCGCUGCCUGCUGACGGUGAUGUGGCGUACCUCGAUGACGGGCCGACGAGGACCCGAGCCGCCAUGCCAUUCAAACCCUCUUCGGCUGCUCCGACCGCCUCGACCAAGCGGUCAUGGUCGCGACGGCCGCCGCCCAGGUGAUCGCGCUUGUCGUCUACAUCUAGCUCUUGAGCGUGGCCAUCAACUCGCUCUCAUGGUCACCAGCUAUCUGAACCAUCAAGCAGGAAAAAGGCCGGGCCCAGUUGGUGGGGGGGAUGCUGGAGGUGUGUAG